UGAGGAAUAUUGGUCAAUGGGCGAGAGCCUGAACCAGCCAAGUCGCGUGAGGGAAGACGGUCCUAUGGAUUGUAAACCUCUUUUGCCGGGGAGCAAAGAGCGGCACGUGUGCCGCGCCGAGAGUACCCGGAGAAAAAGCAUCGGCUAACUCCGUGCCAGCAGCCGCGGUAAUACGGAGGAUGCGAGCGUUAUCUGGAUUUAUUGGGUUUAAAGGGUGCGCAGGCGGCGCGUUAAGUCAGCGGUAAAAUUUCGGGGCUCAACCCCGACGAGCCGUUGAAACUGGCGUGCUAGAGUGGGCGAGAAGUAUGCGGAAUGCGUGGUGUAGCGGUGAAAUGCAUAGAUAUCACGCAGAACUCCGAUUGCGAAGGCAGCAUACCGGCGCCCAACUGACGCUCAUGCACGAAAGCGUGGGGUAUCGAACAGGAUUAGAUACC
rnacentral:rRNA from 1 species